rnacentral:rRNA from 1 species
AUUGAACGCUGGCGGAAUGCUUUACACAUGCAAGUCGAACGGUAGAGGGGGCAACCCCUUGAGAGUGGCGAACGGGUGAGUAAUAUAUCGGAACGUGCCCAGUCGUGGGGAUAACGUAGCGAAAGUUACGCUAAUACCGCAUACGAUCUACGGAUGAAAGCGGGGGACUCGCAAGAGCCUCGCGCGAUUGGAGCGGCCGAUAUCAGAUUAGGUAGUUGGUGGGGUAAAGGCUCACCAAGCCAACGAUCUGUAGCUGGUCUGAGAGGACGACCAGCCACACUGGAACUGAGACACGGUCCAGACUCCUACGGGAGGCAGCAGUGGGGAAUUUUGGACAAUGGACGCAAGUCUGAUCCAGCCAUUCCGCGUGCAGGAUGAAGGCCCUCGGGUUGUAAACUGCUUUGUACGGAACGAAAAGGUUUCUAUUAAUACUAGGAGCUCAUGACGGUACCGUAAGAAUAAGCACCGGCUAACUACGUGCCAG